rfam:Brachypodium distachyon strain Bd21 chromosome 1, whole genome shotgun sequence.
UUGGUAUUCCUCUGUUCAAUAAAGGAUGUCUCAACUUUGAUUAAAUUUGAAUGCAUCUAUACACUAAGUCAUGUCUAGAUACAUUCAAAUUUUAACAAACUUGAGACAUCUUUUGUUGGACGGAGGGAGUAGUUG